rnacentral:rRNA from 1 species
AACGUAGGUGGCAAGCGUUAUCCGGAUUUACUGGGCGUAAAGGGUGUGCAGGCGGGCGGUCAAGUGGUGUAUGAAAUAUCCUGCUCAACCAGGAGAGGUUAUGCCAGACUGACCGUCUUGAGUGCGAGAGAGGGGCGUGGAAUUCCGGGUGUAGUGGUGAAAUGCGUAGAGAUCCGGAGGAACCCCAGAGGCGAAGGCGGCGCCCUGGCUCGCAACUGACGCUCAUACACGACAGCAUGGGGACGCGAACGGG